rnacentral:rRNA from 1 species
CGGUAGCUAAUACCGCAUAACGUCACGAGACCAAAGAGGGGGACCUUCGGGCCUCUUGCCAUCGGAUGUGCCCAGAUGGGAUUAGCUUGUGGGUGGGGUAACGGCUCACCUAGGCGACGAUCCCUAGCUGGUCUGAGAGGAUGACCACCCACACUGGAACUGAGACACGGUCCACACUCCUACGGGAGGCAGCAGUGGGGAAUAUUGCACAAUGGGCGCAAGCCUGAUGCACCCAUGCCGCGUGUAUGAAGAAGGCCUUCGGGUUGUAAAGUACUUUCAGCGGGGAGGAAGGGAGUAAAGUUAAUACCUUUGCUCAUUGACGUUACCCGCAGAAGAAGCACCGGCUAACUCCGUGCCAGCAGCCGCGGU